rnacentral:rRNA from 1 species
AGCGAACGCUGGCGGCAGGCCUAACACAUGCAAGUCGAACGAACCCUUCGGGGUUAGUGGCGGACGGGUGAGUAACACGUGGGAACGUGCCUUUAGGUUCGGAAUAACUCAAGGAAACUUGUGCUAAUACCGAAUGUGCCCCUCGGGGGAAAGAUUUAUCGCCUUUAGAGCGGCCCGCGUCUGAUUAGCUAGUUGGUGAGGUAAAGGCUCACCAAGGCGACGAUCAGUAGCUGGUCUGAGAGGAUGAUCAGCCACAUUGGGACUGAGACACGGCCCAAGCUCCUACGGGAGGCAGCAGUGGGGAAUCUUGCGCAAUGAGCGAAAGCCUGACGCAGCCAUGCCGCGUGAAUGAUGAAGGUCUUAGGAUUGUAAAAUUCUUUCACCGGGGACGAUAAUGACGGUACCCGGAGAAGAAGCCCCGGCUAACUUCGUGCCAGCCGCCGCAGUAAGAC